rnacentral:rRNA from 1 species
UACGUAGGAGGCAAGCGUUGUCCGGAAUUACUGGGCGUAAAGCGCGUGUAGGUGGUGGGACAAGUCUGCUGUGAAAGCGCCUGGCUUAACCGGGCGAGGUCGGCGGAAACUGUCCGACUCGAGGACGGUAGAGGGGGGUGGAAUUCCAGGUGUAGCGGUGAAAUGCGUAGAUAUCUGGAGGGACACCGGUGGCGAAGGCGGCAUCCUGGACCGGCAUUGACGCUGAGGCGCGAAAGCUAGGGGAGCAAACGGG